CUUUGCUUGUCGCUUAGUCUUUUUAUCUCCUGAAAUGCAUGCUUCCAAAGAAACUUGAAAGCUUCAUAGGCGCCCAAGCUUCAGUUUUGUAUUGUAGCUUCAUGUCCUUUUUUAUGUAGCGGUAAAUAUUUCUUGUUUUGUAGAUUUUAGAUCUUGUCCCUAUCCCUGGCACAUGAGUGCUUUCCAGAGAAGCUGCCUAUUACACUACAUGGCGCCCAAGCUUCAUUUUGUUCUGUAUGGGUCUGCAAGACAAGGACAUAAGCGCUACAAAGGAAACCGCUUUGGCUAGUCAGUUUGAUCUUGAAAUUUUAGUCCAGUAUUAUGGAACUGACAAGUACUAUGAGUCACUUCUGCUAGAAGUCAAAGAGGAGAAUGAGAGAGAAGUUCUGGUGCUACUGCAGAAGCUGUGGGCAAUAAACUCCAAAAGUUACAGACAAAGCUUGAUAGUUGACUAAGCUGCCAGCAUUUGUAGUUAAAUAUGCAUAGUUAUAUAGAUCGAAGUGAGUCAUGUCCUAUAAAUCCACUAUUAGAGGUAGGGCAGAGACUGAAUUCGCCUGAUGAGGGAAGAUGAUCACAAAUUUUGAAAUUUGUUCCACUGAUGCAUGGUGCCAACAUUAGUACCUCGUGAUCUUCUGAUGCCUGUGUAAUUGAAAUCAAAAUGUUUGUUAUUUAUUUCCAAACUAAUUGGCCAAUACAAUAUUUUCUCA